rnacentral:SRP_RNA from 1 species
GGCAGGCCUGGGCUCGGUACUUGGAGCUUGCCGUCCAGGUCCUCACGCCCGAGAGCGAGCGCGCCGCGCUGGACUCUGCGCGCGCCGGCCACCGCCUGAGGGAGGUCGAGGAGCGGAGGGCGCGGAACGAGGAGAGAAA